rnacentral:rRNA from 1 species
GUGUACCGGAAGGUGCACCUGGAAAGUCAGGAUAGAGCUUGAUUAGUUAAGCAUUUCAUUUACACUGAAAAUACACUGUGCAAUUCAGUUUAUUCUGAUAAAUUUUAACUUACUUUAGUUGUUAGUUGUUAAAAGUUUUUUUAAUUAAAUUAUUUUUAAUAGGUUAUGUUUGUGUAUAGAAUAUAGAUAAAAUUAUUUAAGUGGUAGGUUAAUUGUAUCGUGAGAGGUUGAUUGAAAUAGUUUGAAAAUAUAUUUUUAUAAAAGUAGAUUAAUGAUUGUACCUUGUGUAUCAGGGUUUAUUAAAAAAAUUGCAAAUAUUUGUAUUUUCCCGAUUUGAAGAGAGCUAAAUAAAUGUGUUAGUUAAUGUGGAAUAAUUAUUAAUAACAUUUAUUUAGUAAUGAAACGUUAUCCGUUCUUUAAGAUAUCUGGUUUUCCGAGAAAUGAAUUUAAUUCAGGUUUAAAAAAGUGUAAUUUAAUUUAUUAAAUAAAUCAUUUUUUUAAGCUAAUGCCCUGGGGGAUAAGCUUUAGGGUAGGUUUUAUAAUUAGUGAAAUUUUAAAAGAUUUAGUAGGCUUAGAAUUAGCCAUCUAUUAAAGGAUGUUAUAAUUUAAUUUUUUGUAAGUUUAAUUUUCUAAGAAUUUAAGUUUUAUAUCGGAGCAAUGUAACUAAUUUUUAGUUACUUGAGAUAAUGAUAAAAUUAGUAUAAAAAUUGUUUAAAUUAUUAAAAAAAAUGUGAGGUUACAUUAAGGAAUUAGGCAAAUUAGUACUCGCCUGUUUAACAAAAACAUGUCUUCUUGAUUAUAAUUUGAAGUCUGACCUGCCCACUGAAUUUUAUAUUUGAAGGGCCGCGGUAUUUUGACCGUGCAAAGGUAGCAUAAUCAUUAGUCUUUUAAUUGAAGGCUAGAAUGAAUGGUUGGACGAGGUACUGACUGUCUCGGUGUGAUUGAUAUUAGAAUUUAACUUUUAAGUUAAAAGGCUUAAUAUAUUUAA